CAGCCUGGGCUCGGCCACGCGCAGAUGAGGGGCUGGAUCCCCGGAUACGAUUGUGCGCCCGGUGCUGGAGGAACAGCUUAGGAAGUCCGCAAGAGGUGGGGUUCUGAGCCCGGCCUGAAGCAGCGCAUCCGCGGAGCGCGAAAGCGAGGGCGCAGCCCACAUGCCGGCGCCCAGCAUCGGAGCGGGCUUCGGAAUCUGGUCUUGCUGGAAAGAGAUGGCUCAGCAGUUAGGAGCACUGACUGCUCUUUCAGAGGUCCUGAGUUCAAAUCCCAGCAACCACAUGGUGGCUCACAACUGUCCUAGAACUCACGCUGUAGACCAGGCUGGUCUCGAACUCGGAAAUCUGCCUGCCUCUGCCUCCCAAGUGCUGGAAUUAAAGGCAUGCACCACCACGCCUGGCUUUUUUUUUUUUUUUAAGUUGUAUUUAUGCUGUCCUCAGACACACCAGGAACUAAAAAACUAGGAAAAACUAAAGGUCCCACCCUGUCUCCCAGUCUUUGGCCACUGGCAUCUUUCUUGAUCGAUCCAAACCAAUGGGCACAGGGACCUUUAACGUUUGGACAUGCAGAUUCCCAAUUAAAUCAAAGCAUUAGAACCAAUCCCCAUCAAAGAGAGACCCUCCUGUUCCCAGACUGUCCAGGACAUUCUGUUCCAAUGCUGAGAGUUCAUAGAUGCUGUUCCAUGAUACCAGGCACUGGCCUGGGGUGCUGCAAGCCACGUGGGGAGACCUGAAGGCACAGACAGGCCUCACAAGAUCCCUGGCUGC
ensembl:antisense Gm29292 predicted gene 29292